UGUGUGUGUGUGUGUGUGUGUGUGUGUGUGUGUGUGUGCGCAGUGACAAACUGCUGACAUUGCCAACUUUGUUUACACCUUGGGGACACUUCCUGUCCACCUGCUCAUCAUAUCUGUGACAUCACUGAUGAUCCACUUUGAUGUUUUAGUUACUCUGCAUGUUGUUCAUCACACAUACGCACACAGCUACAGCAGCGUUGUUUGUUUGUGUGUGUGUGUGUGUGUGUGUGUGUGUGUGUGUUCAGGCUCUACAGGACAAAGUGUGUGACUUUCAGGCUCGUCUUCGGUCUGAAGAAGUCUCCCGUCACCUGCUGCUCCAGCAGCUAAAGGAGCGGAGCAUCCAGGAGGAGGCGUGUCUUCAGCGGCGGUCCGAGGACAGAGCUCAAGGUGUGAGGGUCUUACAGCUGUCAGAUCGUCUCCGCUGUCCAGAAGAAGAGCAGCUGGUUACUCGGCUGCGCACACAGGUGGAGGAGCUGGAGGAGAAGCUGUCAGAUCAGACUCAGGUGGUGGAGAGACUUCGCUCUGAACUGGUGAGACCACAUUCCUGAAGAACCGUGGGAACACGCACACACACCUAUACAGACACACACAGAGGUAAGACAAGACCGAACGUUAUACUUUGAGGUGUGUGUGUGUGUGUGUGUGUGUGUGUGUGUGUGUGUGUG